ensembl:processed_transcript RIKEN cDNA E030042O20 gene
AGACGGGGGUCAGUGGGAGGAGCAAGAGCCCGAGGGCGGGGCAGGGACCUGAGGGCUUCCGGCCGGAGUUCCCGCGUUCCCCUCGGCCUUCCCUGUUGACCCUCCUCUCUCUGUCCCGGGCAUGGCGGAGUCAGGUGGGCUGAAGUCGCACGGGGGCGGGGCGCGAGCAGGAGGCCUUCGGCCCCCGAGUCCUCUGUAGGACUGCACCCCCUUGCUAGAGAUUAGCAGCUGUUUGCCGAAGGUCGCUCCGGCCCUGGCUCUUUGAAGCAGUUUAAACAGUUGGUGCAAACACACCGGGAGCCCCGGCCCGUGCGCUGCUAUCGGAGCUGCGCCUCCCUGAUUUGGACCUGCAGAACCUUGCCCGCUUUAUCUCGCUCCACCGGCUGACUGUGGCGCCAGUCCGGGAGUUAGGGCUCUGAGCUGGGACCCGGACUUUGCAAGAGGCCAACUGCCCUCUGGCCCCAGGUCCCAUUCAGUUGCUGGUGCCCAAACACCUCUGCCCCAGGGAGAUGGAUGAGUCCACGCUGCAAACUCGUGCUCGCUUACUCGAAGGCCCUCCACUUCUCCCACGUGCCCUGGGCUCUGGGCCCAUGCGGUCACUCAGUGUCACUUCAUCCACCCAGAGCCCAGCAAGUGGGCACAGCUCAAAUAGAAUCACCGAAGUGGAUUCUAAGGCUCACAGGGUUCCUUUACACGUACUUACUCUAUUUGGGAAUUUUGAGCCCACCACCCACUGGAGAUAGUGGAAAGGAAAGGUUAACAGGACAAAGGAGGAUGUGGACCUGUUUAGAAAUAAGUCUUUGAAGCAAAUCCAUUCUGCGUUGUCAGGAUAUCAGCAGUUCGCAUGAAUCAGCAGCAGUAACUUGAUCCACUGGCAAACGCCAUUCGCGGACCCAGCAAUGGCAUUUUGAUCCAGAAGAAACUGUGAGGCUCUACUAAUCAGCUUGAGUCAGGGAAAGCACCAAGAAGCCUCCAGAACACCACCAGAAGUUCUUUGGUGCAUUUCUUUCUACAAAGUCAUGACAAACAAUGAACAGCAAAGAGUAGCAAGGCGAACCAAUGCCACAGAGUGUCAUUGUCCACUGUCUGUUGGGUUAUAUUUACACUCUUUCUAGACAUCACUCAAGUGUCCACUCUAGGAAAAUAUCACAUGCCCUUUUCCCCGGCAGCUUCCAGAAAAACACCACAUGUAUGUUCUCAGCAAAACGUCCUCCCGUGUGUCUGCUUCAGCAAAAGCAUUCUCUCAUAAGACAGUUUCCAGAAAAACAUCACAUGAUAUAACGGAGUCUCCAAAGAAACCAGAAAUUUCCACUUCAAUCCUACUUAUAACCUUAAAAUUUUAUAAUUUUUGAGUUGACGCUCCUUUAGUACCAAAAUAAAACUUCAAAUCCUAAAUC